rnacentral:rRNA from 1 species
GAUGAACGCUGGCGGCGUGCUUAACACAUGCAAGUCGAACGAAGCACCUCUCCCGAAGAUUGCCACAGCUUGCUGUAGAUUGAUUCAUUUGAGGUGACUGAGUGGCGGACGGGUGAGUAACGCGUGGGUAACCUGCCUCAUAGAGGGGGACAACAGUUGGAAACGACUGCUAAUACCGCAUAGUAAGAAGAAUUCGCAUGUUUUCUUCUUGAAAGAUUUAUCGCUAUGAGAUGGACCCGCGUCUGAUUAGCUAGUUGGUAAGGUAACGGCUUACCAAGGCGACGAUCAGUAGCCGGCUUGAGAGAGUGAACGGCCACAUUGGGACUGAGACACGGCCCAAACUCCUACGGGAGGCAGCAGUGGGGAAUAUUGCACAAUGGGGGAAACCCUGAUGCAGCGACGCCGCGUGAGUGAAGAAGUAUUUCGGUAUGUAAAGCUCUAUCAGCAGGGAAGAUAAUGACGGUACCUGACUAAGAAGCCCCGGCUAACUACGUG